AAUUCUUCUUCUUGACAGUAAAAAGUGAAACAUUCAAUACGAAAACGUAAACAAUGAUAAACAUAAUAUGCAAGCCCCCGGAGGCAAGCUAAUGUGGUUUAUGGAGAUGGAGCUUCUGCUAAUUGACAUUUGGCAGGAGAACAUCGAGCAGUAGCGGGAAGCCAGAAAAAAUGUCCAGUAUGUAUACAUGGAGAUGUUCCAGGCCUUAAUGGAAGCUGCGUUGGAUGUGUCCUACAAAGACGUCCGGACAACAUUGAAAAUCUGACCAAAAAGUAGAGGCAGGUAAAAAAUAUAAUGGGGACAAGCGGUGUGGCUCCUUCCGUGUGGCAGCAUUACGAGUUGCUCCACUCUUUUCUAGACGCUUAUCAGCGAGAAUACUAGGGAAUACUUUGUAGAGGUCGUUGAUGUCGACCCCGAUGACAGGGAAGCCUCCAUCUGCAGCGGGAGUCAACGCUCAGGCAGCACUGCACCCCCUGCUAAGCGCGAAAAGGUGGACCACAAGUCGGAGCUUGUGGAGAUAGCUAGAGAAAGGCUGGUGGAGCAGCGAGCGCAGACGGAAAAAAGUCGAGAAUGGCAGAUAGCAAAGCUAAAUUCCAAUCGAAUAUGUCACUUUAAAAAUAAAAUGAGAUGUUAUGUUAUAAU